rnacentral:rRNA from 1 species
UACGUAGGGUGCAAGCGUUGUCCGGAAUUAUUGGGCGUAAAGAGCUUGUAGGCGGUUUGUCGCGUCUGCUGUGAAAUUUCGGGGCUCAACCCCGAACUUGCAGUGGGUACGGGCAGACUAGAGUGUGGUAGGGGAGACUGGAAUUCCUGGUGUAGCGGUGAAAUGCGCAGAUAUCAGGAGGAACACCGAUGGCGAAGGCGGCGUUCUGGACUGCAACUGACACUGAGGAACGAAAGCCAGGGGAGCAAACGGG